rnacentral:rRNA from 1 species
AUUGAACGCUGGCGGCAGGCCUAACACAUGCAAGUCGAACGAGUGGCGGACGGGUGAGUAAUGUCUGGGAAACUGCCUGAUGGAGGGGGAUAACUACUGGAAACGGUAGCUAAUACCGCAUACCAUCGGAUGUGCACAGCUGGGAUUAGCUAGUAGGGGGGGUAAAGGCUCACCUAGGCGACGGUCCCUAGCUGGGCUGAGAGGAUGACCAUCAACACUGGAACUGAGACACGGUCCAGACUCCGACGGGAGGCAGCAGUGGGGAAUAGUUCACAAUGGGCGCAAGCCUGAUGCAGCCAUGCCGCGUGUAUGAAGAAGUCCUUCGGGUUGUAAAGUACUUUCAGCGGGGAGGCGUUACCCGCAGAAGAAGCACCGGCUAACUCCGUGCCAGCCGCCGCGGUAAUUC